rnacentral:rRNA from 1 species
CCUACGGGCGGCAGCAGUGAGGAAUAUUGGUCAAUGGGCUUACGCCUGAACCAGCCAAGUCGCGUGAGGGAAGACUGCCCUAUGGGUUGUAAACCUCUUUUGUCAGGGAGCAACGCCGGCUACGUGUAGCCGGACUGAGAGUACCUGAAGAAAAAGCAUCGGCUAACUCCGUGCCAGCAGCCGCGGUAAUACGGAGGAUGCGAGCGUUAUCCGGAUUUAUUGGGUUUAAGGGGUGCGCGGGCGGAAGAUAAAGUCAGCGGGAAAAUUGAGAGGCUCAACCUCGUCGUGCAGUGGAAACUGGUUUGCUUGAGUGAGUGGGAAGUAUGCGGAAUGCGUGGUGUAGCGGUGAAAUGCAUAGAUAUCACGCAGAACUCCGAUUGCGAAGGCAGCAUACCGGCGCUCAACUGACGCUCAUGCACGAAAGUGUGGGUAUCGAACAGGAUUAGAUACCCCAGUAGUC